UUUAAUUCGACGAAAAUUCGGUAAUCGAUAGCAGCGCGAUCUGUGUAUCGCUGCAGAAAUCACGUGACUCUCAGUUCGACCAAUCCGCGUUGAUUAAGCAAGCGUACGAUAGCGAAUUGGGAUAUCGAUAGUUGAAAAAAAUGACGUGCGUUACAUUUGUGCGCGAUUUUUGAAAGAAAAAAUUGUAUUUAUUAGGAAUAUUACACCCGUUACGUGCAUGCGCACGUUCAAAAACUCAUAUAAACAAUAUUUAAUAAAAGUAUUUUUAUAGAUGGCAACGUGCCAGUCUGAAGGAGAAUUUCGAGGAGGACGGUGUACCGAACAUAUACUCCGUGUUAUUAGCCUCGAAGUCAUCACUGCGCGCAGGAACACUAAAAUAAUAACAUUAAAAUGAAAAUAAUGCUAAGAUUAGAAUGUUAAAAUCUAAAAUUUUAUUGAUUUAUUGAUUAUUCCGCUUAUACACAUGCGCAACGUUCGGAAAGUCCUGCAAACAACUUUCACCAAAAGAACUUUAACAGAGGACAAUGACUCAGAUCAACGGUGAAUUUCGAGGAGGACGGAUCACAGAAGAUAUUUCUCCGAGCUUUUAAACAAUAUUCAUUACAAACAAAUUCUUGUUUAUUUCAUUUUCCUUUUUUUAAUGAGAAUAUCAGUUGUUUUUUAUCUGUCCGCAUUGUUACUUCAAUAUAAUUAUUAAUUCUUUCUACUUCGAGGCAUUUUUUAUUAGACGAUUUUUCGCAUAUUUGUUGAAUAUCUUACAACCAUCUUUUAUAUAUGAUUUCACAAACAAUUUUUUAUAUAAUUAUCUACAUUUGUGUGUGUUAAACAGAAAUAACAGAUCAUUCUAGAGUUGCUGCAUCAAAUCAAGUGGUGAUCGAGAGCAACCUUUUUCGGUGCAAAGGAUUAAACACUGUCAGGUAUGCGUGCCGGUAGAAGAAGAAGAAGAAGUGCCUUCUUCUAUAUCACCAUGACAGUCACCAGGAAUGUCCACGUAGUCUUUACGGUUUCUGUGGAAAAAAUUUGAUGACAAAGUCAGGUCAAGAGGCUAUCUGUACAAUUACGGUUGAAUACUCGAAUGGCAUGUGUAACGAUUGGAAUCUUUUGAAAACUUAGUCAGACUAAACAAACAAUGCGAGGAUUGUGCCAGAGUCGGAACAAAUAACAUAAAUAAUAAUCUUAUGUCAAUGAGAUACGUGAUGCAAGAUUAAAGCUGAGAAUAAAUAAAAGAAGAAGAAAUAUCAAAUUGGAAAUGAUGUUAUUGUCACAUUUAGGGGGUUCUCGCCAAUAUUAUAUUUAAUAUCUUAAUAAAUUUGAUAAUUAUAUGUUUUAUACAUACACUGUAACAUUCGAAGGUGUGACAUUUAAACUUAGAGUUGAAUGCCCAGCAGAAAUACCUUUAACGAAUAUCUCGUAUUCUAAUUUGUCAGUGGUAGCAGAAAAUUCAGGUGGCUCGACAGUUAUCAAAUCCUUGUGUUGUAUAUCUAUCCUUACUGUUACAUUUUGCGAUAUAGAUUCUCUGUCAAAUAAAUUUUUAAUCAAUUAGAUAUCUCCAAUAUAUAUAAAGGAUUAACUUUUUUAUAUGCGUUGUAAUCGAGUGUGUUAAACAUAUUGUUAAAAAUACAUGGAAACGUACUUAACGUUA